AGUGAACGCUGGCGGUAGGCCUAACACAUGCAAGUCGAACGGCAGCACAGUAAGAGCUUGCUCUUACGGGUGUCGAGUGGCGGACGGGUGAGGAAUACAUCGGAAUCUACUUUUUCGUGGGGGCUAACGUAGGGAAACUUACGCUAAUAACGCAUACGACCUACGGGUGAAAGCAGGGGAUCUUCUGACCUUGCGCGAUUGAAUGAGCCGAUGUCGGAUUAGCUAGUUGGCGGGGUAAAGGCCCACCAAGGCUACGAUCCGUAGCUGGUCUGAGAGGAUGAUCAGCCACACUGGAAGUGAGACACGGUCCAGACUCCGACGGGAGGCAGCAGUGGGGAAUAUUGGACAAUGGGCGCAAGCCUGAUCCAGCCAUACCGCGUGGGUGAAGAAGGCCUUCUGGUUGUAAAGCCCUUUUGUUGGGAAAGAAAAGCAGCAGGUUAAUACCCCGCUGUUCUGACGGUACCCAAAGAAUAAGCACCGGCUAACUUCGUG
rnacentral:rRNA from 1 species